UUGCCUUUCUCCUGAAGCCACAAAGAGCCAUGGAAAGCUUAAAAUUAGAAUUUAUUUAAUUGGCUUUUGCUUCUUUCUUCAGCUUUUCUUCCUGCUUGGCCCUGCACUCUUGCAUUUACCAGUGCCUUGCUUCCUCACAAACCACACACACACACUCAUCUCUCUGGAGCAAGUUAGGAUAGUGAAGUCACUAAGGUAUGACACCUAGGGAACCAGAGGUCAGCAUACAUCAUAAUCACCAUCGUCACCAUGGCAAUCACUUUAUUUGUUGAACACUUAGAGAAGAUGUUUGGGGUAUAGCAUAGUGUGUGUGUUUCACCAUCCCUCUGCGUAAAGCUUCAUAUCUAUCUACUGUAUGAAUUAGGAACGAUUCUGUUUCAGGCAAGCAGUGGAGUCCUCAAAGAGUUCUAACAAUUGGUCAAGGUUGCCUACUUGGAUAAUGCCUGUUUCUACUGAAGACGGAAACAUGAUCUGGGGACCUGGGACAGGAACUUGAUGAAGCAGAACUGUAUUGACUCACAGACAGCCUAAGAGUAAGCCUACUGUGAGGUUCUGAAGUGCUAGAUUCCUCCUUCCUGGCUCAAUUCCAAAUAUCCGAGCUGUGAGAAAAGGAAAACAGGAAGGGGUACUGCACGUGGCGAAUCCAUAUUAAAAAAAAAAAAAAAGGCUGAAGUCUGAUGCCAGCUGGACAGAGCAGCAGUGGUAGUAGCUACACUCUCUCAGAAAGAAACAAAUAGUAAGAUACACGCGGGCUGCUUUUUCUCAGACUUCUCUGUUUGGGCUGCUUGUUGGAAAGUGAAAUCCACAUUAAGGGUUUUUUUUUUUUUCUUUUUUUUUUCUUUUUUUUUUUUUUACUCCAGUUAAUCCUCCCUGUCAACACCCUGGCAGAUAUGCACAGUGCGUCUCCUAAGUGAUUCUAAAUAAAGUCAGGCUGAUAAACAACCAUCAUAUCCCCCUUGCCGUGAUCUUUUAAAUACCCAGUCACUAGCUCUCUAAACUCCUCCCUCACCACAGCCACCAUACUUGAAACGAGAAGGCCUAUCAAGCUGCUGUCGCUCUCAAGGAUUUACCAGUAUGUUCAUCCACUGCCUGUUGACAUUCCAUGAGGUAUUCUUGUAUUUCAAAUGGAGUUUCUGACCUAUAAUUGGUAGGUAAUUUGUUUAAUAUAUACAAGUUGAUGGCUUUGUAGACAUCCCAUCACUAUACUAUCAAGGUAACAGAUUGCCGUCACCUCUAAAAAUUACUUUGUGCCUUUUACUUUUUUGUUGAAGUUUUUAAUGAGAGUAUGUAACAUGAACGUUGCUUCAGACCUUUAAGUUCCUAACACCAGGCUGUUGUCUGGAGGUGACAGGCUGCAGGUGGAACUCUAGGCUAGACUGACUUUGUAUAACUGAAAUUUCUUAUAAUUUUUUUCUACUUGACACAGUCAUUCAUUCAUCAGUCUAGAGAGUAAUUCAUCUUUACUAGAAAGGUAAACUUCUACCUUCUCCUUAAAGGAUAACAUGUGUCUUUCAUCUCCUAAUAGUCUGUAUUAUUUCUGCUCUUUAUCUAUCAUGUCAUUAGCCCAUCCCCAGGCUUCUACCCAUUGAGAGCAUGAGUAGAAAUAUGGCCUGAAAUCAUUGUCUAGUUAGAUACCUUAUUCCAGCACUGUGAAUUGAUGGACCUGGGGGCUCUCAUCGUUGUCAGAAGUCUCCAAUAGAUCAUGGUGCUCAUUUCUACCGAGCCAGCUCAUUCUCAGAUCCUUUUGUAAACUGACGCUCCAGGCAACCCUCACCAAUCAAUACAGAAUAGGAUGUGAACUUCUUUUCAUCAAAAGACUCCAUGAGAACAGUGAGAAGGCAAGCCGUAUCCUGGGAGAAGAUUGUUUGUAACGUGUACAACAAAAGAUCAGCACCUAGACUGUACACAGAGAGCCUAGAAAGAAAGAAAAUAAAUGCUAGGAUUUGGACCAUAACAUAGAAGACACCUGGUGAACGCAGCUGUGGCCAUUUAGCUGAUUACUUACUGAAGUGCUGUGCCUUUAAUGGUCAAAAGAAGAGAGAUCUGAGGAGCUCACAAGUUUCCCAGAGUUGUCACAACCAUUAACUGGAAAAGAGAGACAUCAAACUGUAUGAAUUGGCUCCCUGAAUGUCCUAGAAGCACUCUGCUGGCAUGUGAUCAGAACCUAAAUAAGUGUAUGUUUGCUCUGUGGGAAUGAAGUGCAUUCUUCUGCAUAGUAAAUGGAAAUCAUCAAAAGACAGAGUGAUGGGCCACUGGCUUUACAAGUUGAGGAAGAAUACAGAUGAAGCAACAAGAACACAUGCAGGAAUAAUGAAAAGUACCAUGAACCUGAGCUAAUAGGA